rnacentral:rRNA from 1 species
AGUGCGCGUCGGUAGCAAUACCGAUGGCGCACGGCGCACGGGUGCGUAACACGUGGGUAAUCUGCCCUUCGAUGGGGAAUAACCUCGCGAAAGCGAGGCUAAUUCCGCAUAACAUUCCUAAGACUUCGGUCCCUGGACUCAAAGCCGUAAGGCGUCGAUGGAGGAACCCGCGCACGAUUAGCUAGUUGGCGGGGUAAUGGCCCACCAAGGCUCUGAUCGGUAGCCGGUCUGAGAGGACGCACGGCCACACUGGAACUGCAACACGGUCCAGACUCCUACGGGAGGCAGCAGUGGGGAAUCUUGCACAAUGGGGGAAACCCUGAUGCAGCGACGCCGCGUGGGUGAUGAAGCUCUUCGGAGUGUAAAGCCCUUUCGGCAGGGAAGAGUAAAGACGGUACCUGCAAAAGAAGCCCCGGCUAACUACGUGCCAGCAGCCGCGGUAAUACGUAGGGGGCAAGCGUUGUUCGGAAUUACUGGGCGUAAAGAGCGCGUAGGCGGCGCAGUGUGUUUGGUGUGAAAUCUCCCGGCUCAACCGGGAGGGGCCAUCGAAAACUGCUGUGCUUCGGGUACGGGGGA